rnacentral:rRNA from 1 species
UACAGAGGGGGCAAGCGUUGUUCGGAAUUACUGGGCGUAAAGGGCGCGUAGGCGGGAUGGCAAGUCGGUCGUGAAAUCCCUCGGCUCAACUGAGGAUCGUCGAUCGAUACUGCCGUUCUUGAGGAUUGCAGAGGAGACUGGAAUUCCCGGUGUAGCGGUGAAAUGUGUAGAGAUCGGGAGGAACACCGGUGGCGAAGGCGGGGUCUCUGGGCCGUAACUGACGCUGAGGAGCGAAAGCGUGGGGAGCAAACAGG